rnacentral:rRNA from 1 species
CCUACGGGUGGCAGCAGUGGGGAAUAUUGCGCAAUGGGCGAAAGCCUGACGCAGCGACGCCGCGUGAGGGAUGAAGGUCUUCGGAUCGUAAACCUCUGUCAGCAGGGAAGAACGGUCACUGUGCUAAUCAGCAGUGAAUUGACGGUACCUGCAAAGGAAGCACCGGCUAACUCCGUGCCAGCAGCCGCGGUAAUACGGAGGGUGCGAGCGUUAAUCGGAAUUACUGGGCGUAAAGCGCUCGUAGGCGGGAUGUCAAGUCAAGGGGGAAAUCCCCGCGCUCAACGUGGGAACUGCAUUUGAAACUGGCAAACUGGAGUGUGUGAGCGGAUAGUGGAAUUCCAGGUGUAGGAGUGAAAUCCGUAGAUAUCUGGAGGAACAUCAGUGGCGAAGGCGACUAUCUGGCACAUAACUGACGCUGAGGAGCGAAGGCGUGGGUAGCAAACAGGAUUAGAUACCCGGGUAGUC